rnacentral:rRNA from 1 species
CCUAUUUACGUUUGAGAAAUGGGGUGACGCAGUAGGAUAAGAUGUGCGCACUAUUGGAUGUGCGUCUAAGCACUUAGGCAUGCUUGAUAGGCAAAUCCGUCGAGCUAAGCUGAGGUGUGAUGGGGAGCCAUUUAUGGCGAAGUAUCUGAUUCCACACUGCCAAGAAAAGCCUCUAUCGAGUGAAUAGGUGCCCGUACCGCAAACCGACACAGGUAGGUGAGGAGAGAAUCCUAAGGCCAUCGGAAGAAUUGCUGUUAAGGAACUCGGCAAAUUGACCCCGUAACUUCGGGAGAAGGGGUGCCUACGAAAGUAGGCCGCAGAGAAUAGGCCCAAGCAACUGUUUAGCAAAAACACAGGUCUCUGCUAAAGCGAAAGCUGAUGUAUAGGGGCUGACGCCUGCCCGGUGCUGGAAGGUUAAGGGGAACACUUAGCGUAAGCGAAGGUGUGAACUUAAGCCCCAGUAAACGGCGGCCGUAACUAUAACGGUCCUAAGGUAGCGAAAUUCCUUGUCGGGUAAGUUCCGACCCGCACGAAUGGCGUAAUGAUUUGGGCACUGUCUCAACAGCAAAUCCGGCGAAAUUGUAGUGCAAGUGAAGAUGCUUGCUACCCGCGAUUGGACGGAAAGACCCCGUAGAGCUUUACUGUAGCUUAGCAUUGAAUCUCGGUAUUGUCUGUACAGGAUAGGUGGGAGACUUGGAA